UACGUAGGGUGCGAGCGUUAAUCGGAAUUACUGGGCGUAAAGCGUGCGUAGGCGGUUCGUUAAGUCAGCUGUGAAAGCCCCGGGCUCAACCUGGGAACUGCGGUUGAAACUGGCGAACUAGAAUCUGGCAGAGGGGGGUGGAAUUCCACGUGUAGCAGGUGAAAUGCGUAGAGAUGUGGAGGAACACCGAUGGCGAAGGCAGCCCCCUGGGCUGAGAUUGACGCUCAGGCACGAAAGCGUGGGGAGCAAACAGG
rnacentral:rRNA from 1 species